rnacentral:rRNA from 1 species
GACGAACGCUGGCGGCGUGCUUAACACAUGCAAGUCGAACGGAUUGCUUGGUGCUUGCACUGAGUGGUUAGUGGCGAACGGGUGAGUAACACGUGAGUAACCUGCCCCCUUCUUUGGGAUAAGCACCUGAAAGGGUGUCUAAUACUGAUUAUUCUGCUGGAAUCGCAUGGUUUGGGUUGGAAAGGUUUUUCUGGUGGGGGAUGGGCUCUCAGCUUAUCAGCGUGUUGGUGGGGUAAGGGCUGACCAAGGCUGUGACGGGUAACCGGCCUGAGAGGGUGACCGGUCACAUUGGGACUGAGAUACGGCGCAGACUCCUACGGGAGGCAGCAGUGGGGAAUAUUGCACAAUGGACGAAAGUCUGAUGCAGCGACGCCGAGUGAGGGAUGAAGGCCUUCGGGUUGUAAACCUUUUUCGCUUUUGACCAAGGCAGCAUUUUGGUGUUGUUGAGGGUAUGAGGUAAAGAAGCUCCGGCUAACUACGUGCCAGCCGCCGCGGUAACAC